rnacentral:piRNA from 2 species
UGCAAAGUUAAAGCCUUCAACUGCAGCUGA